rnacentral:rRNA from 1 species
CCCUUAGAUGUUCUGGGCCGCACGCGUGCUACACUGGCGAACGCAACGAGUAUUACGACCUUGACCGAAAGGUCUGGGUAAUCUUAUGAAAGUUCGUCGUGACAGGGAUCGAUCAUUGCAAUUAUUGAUCGUGAACGAGGAAUUCCUAGUAAGGGCAAGUCAUCAUCUUGCCUUGAUUACGUCCCUGCCCUUUGUACACACCGCCCGUCGCUACUACCGAUUGAAUGGUUUAGUGAGAUCUUCGGAUUGGCGCCACUGCGGCUCAGCAAUGGGCUCGGUGGAUGCCGAAAAGUUGAUCAAACUUGAUCAUUUAGAGGAAGUAAAAGUCGUAACA